rnacentral:rRNA from 1 species
GCUCAGGAUGAACGCUAGCGACAGGCCUAACACAUGCAAGUCGAGGGGCAUCGGGGCGAGGAGCAAUCCUUGCCGCCGGCGACCGGCGCACGGGUGAGUAACGCGUAUGCGACCUGCCCGUUGCAGGGGGAUAAUCGGGAGAAAUCCCGUCUAAUACCGCGUAACGCCGCGGGGCUGCAUGGCCCUGCGGCCAAAGGAAGCGAUUCCGGCAACGGAUGGGCAUGCGUGACAUUAGCUAGUUGGCGGGGCAACGGCCCACCAAGGCGACGAUGUCUAGGGGUUCUGAGAGGAAGGUCCCCCACACUGGUACUGAGACACGGACCAGACUCCUACGGGAGGCAGCAGUGAGGAAUAUUGGUCAAUGGGCGCGAGCCUGAACCAGCCAAGUCGCGUGAGGGAUGACGGCCCUACGGGUUGUAAACCUCUUUUGUCGGGGAGCAAAUUCCGCCACGCGUGGCGGAGUCGAGAGUACCCGAAGAAAAAGCAUCGGCUAACUCCGUGCCAGCAGCCGCGGUAAUACGGAGGAUGCGAGCGUUAUCCGGAUUUAUUGGGUUUAAAGGGUGCGUAGGCGGACUGUCAAGUCAGCGGUAAAAUACGGGGGCUCAACCUCCGCCCGCCGUUGAAACUGACGGUCUUGAGUGGGCGAGAAGUAUGCGGAAUGCGUGGUGUAGCGGUGAAAUGCAUAGAUAUCACGCAGAAC